rnacentral:rRNA from 1 species
GGAGGGUGCAAGCGUUGUUCGGAAUUACUGGGCGUAAAGCGCGUGUAGGCGGUUAGGCAAGUCAGAUGUGAAAGCCUUUCGCUUAACGGAAGAAGUGCAUUUGAAACUGCCUGACUAGAGUACGGGAGAGGAGAGUGGAAUUCCCGGUGUAGAGGUGAAAUUCGUAGAUAUCGGGAGGAACACCAGUGGCGAAGGCGGCUCUCUGGCCUAAUACUGACGCUGAGACGCGAAAGCGUGGGGAGCAAACAGGAUUAGAUACCCUGGUAGUCCACGCUGUAAACGAUGGGCACUAGGUGUAGGAGGUAUUGACCCCUUCUGUGCCGAAGCUAACGCAUUAAGUGCCCCGCCUGGGGAGUACGGCCGCAAGGUUA